AGGAGCCCCAAGCAAGACAAGGGGAAUUUGUCCAAUUCAUACAGCCAUCCAGCUCCAGAUGAUCCUCAGUAAAGAAUACCAUCCUCUCAAUAUUCAAGAGUCACCCUUCUACAGGGGACUCCUAGACUGCCCAUCAGUGGGACAUGACAGAGGCAAAAUCCUGCCCCUGUCUCCCUUGGACCUGGCUGAAUUCAGCUUUCAUCAACCCACAUAGCCACCCUGCCCUGACAGCCAGCAAGAGGCCAAGACCCACAGAACCACCACCAUCAUCCCUGUCAGCAGGAAGCAGUUACAGAAGACUGACCAUCCAUUUUCCCCAAAGAACUGGGGUCUUGGACUCUUAAGGGAGGAAAUGUUACAGUAGGUAGUCAGACGUGAGCAGGACAGAGAGCACCCCCUAACCCCG
rnacentral:lncRNA from 1 species